AUUGAACGCUGGCGGCAGGCCUAACACAUGCAAGUCGAACGAGUGGCGGACGGGUGAGUACUGUAUGGGAACCUGCCUGAUGGAGGGGGACAACAACUGGAAACGGUAGCUAAUACCGCCUACCACACGCUGUGCCCAGAUGGGAAUAGCUUGUUGGUGGGGUACCGGCGCACCAAGGCGACGAUCCCUAGCUGGUCUGAGAGGAUGACCAGCCACACUGGAACUGAGACACGGGCCAGACUCCUACGGGAGGCAGCAGUGGGGAAUUUUGGACAAUGGGCGCAAGCCUGAUGCAGCCAUGCCGCGUGUAUGAAGAAGGCCUUCGGGUUGUAAAGUACUUUCAGCGGGGAGGCGUUACCCGCAGAAUAAGCACCGGCUAACUCCGUGCCAGCAGCCGCGGUAAUAC
rnacentral:rRNA from 1 species